UGGGACAACUACCGGAAACGGUAGCUAAUACCGAAUACUUGUUUUCUUCGCCUGAAGGAAACUGGAAAGACGGAGCAAUCUGUCACUUGGGGAUGGGCCUGCGGCGCAUUAGCUAGUUGGUGAGGUAACGGCUCACCAAGGCGACGAUGCGUAGCCGACCUGAGAGGGUGAUCGGCCACACUGGGACUGAGACACGGCCCAGACUCCUACGGGAGGCAGCAGUAGGGAAUCUUCCGCAAUGGGCGAAAGCCUGACGGAGCAAUGCCGCGUGAGUGAUGAAGGUUUUCGGAUCGUAAAGCUCUGUUGCCAGGGAAGAACGCUUGGGAGAGUAACUGCUCUCAAGGUGACGGUACCUGAGAAGAAAGCCCCGGCUAACUACGUGCCAGCAGCCGCGGUAAUACGUAGGGGGCAAGCGUUGUCCGGAAUUAUUGGGCGUAAAGCGCGCGCAGGCGGUCAUGUAAGUCUGGUGUUUAAUCCCGGGGCUCAACCCCGGAUCGCAC
rnacentral:rRNA from 1 species